UACGGAGGGGGCUAGCGUUGUCCGGAUUUAUUGGGCGUAAAGAGCGUGUAGGCGGUUUGGUAGGUCCGCUGUGAAAACUCGAGGCUCAACCUCGAGACGCCGGUGGAAACCAUCAGGCUAGAGUCCGGAAGAGGAGAGUGGAAUUCCUGGUGUAGCGGUGAAAUGCGCAGAUAUCAGGAAGAACACCCGUGGCUAAGGCGGCUCUCUAGUACGGUACUGACGCUGAGACGCGAAAGCGUGGGGAGCGAACAGG
rnacentral:rRNA from 1 species